ensembl:lincRNA 4933440M02Rik RIKEN cDNA 4933440M02 gene
UUGUGUCCAGAAGUCUGUGGCUCUCUGGCUUUUUCACUUGGCUGGCUGCAGUUUCAUGGCUCUGACCUCAGAUCUCUAGCUGCCUCACUGUCAGAGUACCUCACUUCCCAGUUGCCUCUCCUCUGUCUUUUCUGACUGAGCCUUUUUAAGAACUACACUUUUUUUUUGUCUGACCCUUUGCUCCUGACCUAAUGACCUCAGUGCUAUCCUAGAUGACCACUUCUCACCCAAGAUCCCAUAACAUUUCGAAGCUGGAUGAGAUGGUUCCCUGCUUGCUAAGAUGAGCUUCAGGACCCUGUGGAAACAAAUUUGAUGAUCAAUGAUGAAAUGAAGGCGAUUCUGGAAAGUGCUCAGUCCACCCCAGUAUCUUCACCUGAGCAUUCUACUUUGUUGACUGGAUCUGGCUCAUCAAGGGCUGAGGAAGUUCUUCAGGCAGAAUGAGGAAGAUAUAUAGAUGAACUAUCUGGAUAAGGAAAAGAGGAAGAACAUUUGAGACAAAUGGAUAGCUGGCAUGAAGUUUCCUCUUCUCCAGAACUAAGGGCUGCCACCUGUUCAGAGAACAAGUUCACUCUGGCUGGAAGUACACCACCUGGUCCCCUUUCCUUUGGGACCUGUCCUGGAAGACAUGUCUGCAGAGCUGAGUGAGGCUCCCUGCCCCGGCUGCUGUCCUGGCUUGCAGGAUCUGGGAACACAUACCCAGAAACAACUCCCCAUGCAUGCGCCCUGCCUUUCCUCACAUGCUUCCCAGAGAGCACAUAACAUACUUCAAGAAAACCAAAGAAAGAAAAAAUUGCCCUAAGAGUUCCGGAAUUGACCUCUGGCUACAAAGAGCAUUGUGACUGGCUUACAAAGUUAUACGAUUCUCUGACGAAACUCUUUGUGACCCAGAGCAACUACUUAAGAGUCUGUUACAAGGUGUACAGUGUAUUCUCUCUGUGAGCUUACAUCUGUGGGCUCCACAAAGGGCAUGCAUGCCAAAAGCCUGGGUACGUGGUAGUUCCCAGUGACUGAAUCUUCGCCCAUUGGAAAAGUGAGGAACAGAAGAAAAGUCAGGCAAAUAGUCUAUGAGCUGGCUAGGUUUGUGUGUCCAUCAUCCUCUUGGGUGAAAGGCCAAAGGAAUGAGGGACAUGUCCCAAGAAGUAUGGCUGGAGCCAUGCCACAAAGUCAUACAGCCUCUUGGUGCACUGCUCUGUGCAUCUCCAAGACUCAGUCAGUAUUACAUUGACUGAUUCACUUGGUUUGUCCCCACCAAGACUCCCUUACACAGUGAAAAUGAGCACAUGCCUUCCCUAGACUGGCUUCAUUAUGGACUGGAGGUUUGACUUAGUAGUCACCUACAGCCCAAAUCUGCUCUGUUCUUGUUUCCCAUGGCAGGACUUGUGGGACUCACUUGAUGGUCAUGAUUGUAGAUCGUGAUGCACAGUGCAGUGAUUGGCUCACGACAGCUCAGCCUUCUUGCCACAUGGGAGCUUCCUUCAAUAUGACUUGGUGCUCAACCACAUUCUGGGCCAACAGAUGCCAGGCCUUUCCCCAAAGCACAGCUUUGUCAGUCUCUCAGCCAUCUUUUGGUCUUCAAUAAGGAAAUACCAAUGGUACCUGGCUGUCUUGGAGGCUGACUGCAGCUGCCCCAUGUUUCCCUACUCUAAACUCAGACCAUUGUCAAGUCAAGAGCACAGAUCAGAACCUUGUCUUCUACCACGAGCCAGUACUGAAGUCAAUAAAUAUCCUGUCAGCAGUGUGGCCACAG